rnacentral:rRNA from 1 species
CGAACGCUGGCGGCAGGCCUAAUACAUGCAAGUCGAACGGCUCUUCGGAGCAGUGGCGGACGGGUGAGUAACGCGUGGGAAUGUGCCCUUUGGUACGGAACAACACAGGGAAACUUGUGCUAAUACCGUAUGUGCCCUUCGGGGGAAAGAUUUAUCGCCAUUGGAGCAGCCCGCGUUGGAUUAGGUAGUUGGUGAGGUAAAGGCUCACCAAGCCGACGAUCCAUAGCUGGUCUGAGAGGAUGACCAGCCACACUGGGACUGAGACACGGCCCAGACUCCUACGGGAGGCAGCAGUAGGGAAUCUUGCGCAAAGGGCGAAAGCCUGACGCAGCCAUGCCGCGUGUAAGAUGAAGGUCUUAGGAUUGUAAAAUACUUUCACCGGGGAAGAUAAUGACGGUACCCGGAGAAGAAGCCCCGGCUAACUUCGUGCCAGCAGCCGCGGUAAUAC